AUGGAGGACACUCAGAAUGACACAACUCCCAUUCCUCCUGCCACAGGAAGAACCUGCCACAUCUCAAUGGCACAAGGCAUCAUGAUUCCCAAAGGGAGAAAAACAAGCUGGCAAGUGCUCUGCUCACCGUGUCAACUAGCAUUGAGACGAGUGGAAGUUCUACCUAAUGGGUGCUUGGGACCCCACUCAGCCAUGCAGUGAGACACGGUGCUGCUUACUUUGACUCUUGCGACUUCCGCCAAGGAGCUACAAGGGUGACAUCCACUCCAAUUUCACACAGCUAUACCUAAUUCCAGCAGGGGCAGGAAUGUACUCCUAUCUCUUGUACAGAAUGGAAAGUAAGAAUAUUCCAGAACAGCUCUGAUGAUGCUUCCAAACAGAGGACUACAUGCAAUCUAUUUCCCAGAUUCUUGUCACCUCGUCACUCCAGGCUUAGUGCCAUCUUUCCAGUCCUUCAGUGAGAGCCUUUUGAGGAAGAAUUUGUAGCAACAGUGAAAAGCCAGCCCUCCAUUUUGGUAAAAGGUGGCAGUUAUCAAGAGGGGCUCUACGCUGGGAACCCGUCACUGCUGUUUAGCACUGCUCACUACGCUUGAGACGUAGGGGAGCAUUCAGUCUCUUGGAUACUCGGUGUCUACUCUGGGAAAUGGAGUUACUACCCUUUCUGGGAAGCUGUAGUGGGGUUCAUUCCCCCAAAGACUUUUAAGCACUCUGCUUUGCUCUGGCACUGUUCAGCCCUGGGGUGCUGACACUUUGCUCUGGGUCCUCUACAAGGUAGGUGCUCAAAAUCCACCAACUGCUGUCAGAAUUCACCACAUAAAUCCUAACUAUUUUGAACUCUUGCAUUUUCAAAGCCAAGAACUAAUUCCAUAGCAAGAUCUGCUUGGCUGUACAAUGCCUUACUAAGACUGUAGCUUUACCAAGUUUGGCCACAUACUCAUCAAAAUGUCAUAGGCUAUGAGCAUUUCUUUUCCUAAGGAAACAAGAUACUUCUGAGAUCCUCUCCUUGUCAAUGGCCUGGACCUUUCUAAAGCUUCUACAUCCAAUACUGAGCUAAGCAAUUCAAAUUGAUCUAACAUUGGAAUUUAUAAAGUUAUUUCAUGCAUAACUAAUUUGAUAUAACAUAAAGCUUCCUGCAGAAGAGGGAUGUUACACUACAAGGGUAACACCGGGUGCUUGGUGAAGGUAUUGUUGUAUCAUAACUACUAGAAGCAAGGAGAAAGCCAGGCAUGGUGGCGCACACCUGUAAUCCCAGCACUCCAGAGGCAGGAAGAUUGCUAUGAGUUCAAGGUCAGCCUGGGCUACAUAGUGAGUUCAAAUCAAGCUCGAACUACAUAGCAGUCACCCCGUUGUAUAGCACAAGAUGUGGAAGACAUUCGUGAAGCACUAGGGGUAGGGUUUGCUUCUGGGCAGGAACCUCUGCAUAUCCUGGAAAGAUACUUCAAUAAGAAUAGGCAUAGGAGGCUGGACAUGGUGGCGCACGCUUGUAACUGCAGCAUUCUGAAGACGAAAGCGGGAAGAUUGCAAGUUUGGGCCCAAGGUAGGCAAUGUGAGACCCAUGAUCCAGCUACCCUCUUCUAGGCAACUUCCCAAAAGAGUUACACACAUCACAUACAGGGAUGCAUGCAUACCCAUGGUUACAGUAGCACAAUUCAUAACAGCUAGAUCAUGGAAACAGCAUAUAUGUCCAUCGACAGAUGAACGGAUAAAGAAAAAUGGUAUUUAUACACAGUGAGGUACUGCUCUGCCACAAAGGAUAAAUUUGAGGCAUUCACAGGCAACUGGAUGCAACUUGAGAAUAUAAUGGUACGUGAAGUAAGUCAGAGACACACAAGCUUAAAUAAUGCAUGGCUUCUCUUGUAUCAGAAAAUGAGAGACAGAAAGAGAGAGAAAGAGAAUAUGAAUGAGUGAAUAGAAAAAUAGGAAGUAAGAAGAAGUUCAAAUAAUUCCCCAAAUUACCUAUUCCAUUGUUUCCAAAAUAUAUUAUCAUAUAUGUUAAUUUGUUUCACUUAUACUAUUAGUUUCUCUUAGUUCACUAAAAAGAAAGUUUCGUCCUAUUAUUUUUUUGUUUCUUCUUGGUAAGAGAGUUUUUUCUGUGUAUCAUUGUACUCUGAGUAACAUUUUGGCCAUUCUUUUAAGAUUGGGAUGAUGGAAAGGAGAAAAAGAAGGAAGGAAGGAGGGAAUAGAUAGAUAGAUAGAUGGGAUAGUUGUACUGUUGAUGUCUAUUUGUUUAUUGAAAGGAACAGUUAACGCUUAAACUUUUUUGACCAAUUUUGCAUGCUUAUAUCUGGUAAUCUGAGCAACUGAUUUGAAGACAACAAUAUGCAAUAUAACAACCGCUGGUGAAUUCCUACCAUCUUGUUUAGUGAAGCUCUGUAUCAUUUCUCAUGGUUUUUUAUUAUUUUUUAUUUUCUUUAAUAGUUUGAUCCAUCUUGCAUUCUUGCAUCUGCUAAUCUGAGCACCUUCGUUGAAGGUAAUGAUACGCAAUACAACAACCGCUGUUCAUUCCUAUCAUUUGGUUUUAAAACCCUGUGUUGUUUUGUUUUUGUCUAUGUUGUUGUUAUUUUGUUACUUUUUAAAUUCUCUUUAAAAUAAAAAAAAAAUUGCAAAACACAACAUAGGCACGUGGGCUGCAGUGGGCUGCCUGUUAUCACUGACAGCUCGAAGAGGUUCGCCAUCAGUGAACUACUGUCAUUUUCUAACUACUUUGGUAUGAAAUUCUGUUUUAUUUUUUCAUAGAAGUUAGAAGAGUGCUCUUUUACUUUCUUAAUAACUAACUGUAUUACAUUAAAAAUUUUAAAAACCAUUCACAAGCUAAAAAAAAAAAAAAAAAUUGAAAAGGCCUGGGGAUGUAGCUCAGUGUGAAGGCUCUGGCUUUGAUCUCUGGUAUUACCAAAGAACAAGGGAGGGGAGAAAGUUAUGGGGUAGAUCUGGCGCAUCCCCUCAAAGCCUCUUGUGUCCUGAGGUGAGGCUCUGGAAUGUGACUGGAUUAUGGGGGGGAAGAGUUGAGUUGCUGUUAGAGGCAGGGUCUGGUGGGAAGAGGCCAUCUCUGGGAUGUUACCCGGAAGGGGUGACCCGGAAGGGGUGCCUCUCCCUCCCUAGCUCCUCCCUUCCCUCUGCUUCCUGGGCACCAUGAUGUGGGCUGCUGUCCUCUGACAACCCCUUCCACCACGGAGGGGAGAGGAGAUAAGAGAACUGGACGUGGGCGACACCCCAGUUACUCAACAGCUAAGCAAACUAGUAACUCCUGAUCAGGAAUCCAUCUCCAAGGUCCCACAAAAGUGAUUCUAGGGGAACGAGAGCUGUGAUUACAGCUGACUGGCAACCUCAGCCUUUUAGUAAUGGUGACUUUGAUUGAGGGCUUUCUAUGAACAUGUCAGUUUAAGUACUUCGUGAACAGUAAGUAAAUCAUUUACUUGUCACAGUGACCCUAGGCAACAAAUAUAAUUACCCACACUUUCCAUUUCAAGAUCCAAAAAGGAAACUUGCUGCAAGCGGUGGAACCAGCAUUAGAACCCAGUGCACCCUGAGGAGAGUGAGGACAGGAAGCAAUCACACCGCUAGCAGCCGCGCUCCCCCACGUCUCUCUGUGCCGCUGCUGACUGUUGG
rnacentral:lncRNA from 1 species